GACGAACGCUGGCGGCGUGCUUAACACAUGCAAGUCGAACGGAAAGGCCCCUUUGGGGGUACUCGAGUGGCGAACGGGUGAGUAACACGUGAGUAACCUGCCCUUGACUUCGGGAUAACUUCAGGAAACUGGGGCUAAUACCGGAUAGGAAUCCUUGCUGCAUGGUGGGGGUUGGAAAGCUUCGGCGGUUUUGGAUGGACUUGCGGCUUAUCAGCUUGUUGGUGGGGUAGUGGCUUACCAAGGCUUUGACGGGUAGCCGGCCUGAGAGGGCGACCGGCCACAUUGGGACUGUCAUCCGGCCCCGACACCUACGCGAGGCCGCAGUGGCGAACAUUGGCCAAUGCGCGUAAGCCUGAUGCAACAACGCCGCGUGCGGGAUGACCGCCUUCGGGUUGUAAACCGCUUUCAGCAGGGGCGAAGCUUGUGGUGACGGUACCUGCAUAAGAAGCACCGGCUAACUACGUG
rnacentral:rRNA from 1 species